AUUGAACGCUGGCGGCAGGCCUAACACAUGCAAGUCGAGCGGUAGCACAGAGAGCUUGCUCUCGGGUGACGAGUGGCGGACGGGUGAGUAAUGUCUGGGAAACUGCCCGAUGGAGGGGGAUAACUACUGGAAACGGCAGCUAAUACCGCAUAACGUCGCAAGACCAAAGUGGGGGACGUUCGGGCCUCACACCACCGGAUGUGCCCAGAUGGGGUUAGCUAGUAGGUGGGGUAAUAGCUCACCUAGGCGACGAUCCCUAGCUGGUCUGAGAAGAUGACCAGCCACGCUGGAACUGAGACACGGUCCAGACUCCUACGGGAGGCAGCAGUGGGGAAUAUUGCACAAUGGGCGCAAGCCUGAUGCAGCCAUGCCGCGUGUAUGAAGAAGGCCUUCGGGUUGUAAAGUACUUUCAGCGGGGAGGAAGGCGGUGGAGUUAAUAACUUCACCGAUUGACGUUACCCGCAGAAGAAGCACCGGCUAACUCCGUGCCAGCAGCCGCGGUAAGAC
rnacentral:rRNA from 1 species